GCCAGCCCAUACCUGAGUGGAUGUACAACCCUAGCAUCUUGCCUGUGGCGCCUGUUGAUCCCAACACUAAAGCCCGCCUCACAGCAGACGGGCAACCCAUUCCUGAGUGGGUGUACAACCCCAGCAUUCUGCCAGUGGCACCUGUAGACCCCAACCAUGCCGCUGCUCCCCGCUACCCCGCCGACUUCAACCCCGCUCUAUGCCCGAACUACCCCUACUGCUGGUGAACAAAAAAAAAUCUUAACCCUGCAAAAAAAGUAAAAUUCAGACUUCGAAUCCAAUUUGAACUCUUUAAAAUAAUACAAUUGAAAAUCGAACCAUAAUAAAAAUUCAAAAAAUAUUAGCACUCUCAAAAUGGCGUACAUUUUGUCAAUGGUUUGAUGGAUAGUUCGAUUUCUUUAAAAAGUAAUAGGUCUAUAAUUUAAGUCUGUUUUUCAUUCGUGAAUCUUUUCUCAUUGCCAUAUCAUUGUAAAUAGAAUGAGUGUGUCUUUAAAGUUGAAAUAUUGAUUGUAAAAACGUU
rnacentral:lncRNA from 1 species